rnacentral:rRNA from 1 species
GAUGAACGCUAGCGGCAGGCCUAAUACAUGCAAGUCGAACGAUAUUAUCCAGCUUGCUGGAUAUGAAAGUGGCGCACGGGUGCGUAACGCGUAUGCAACCUACCUUAUUCAGGGGGAUAGCCCGAAGAAAUUCGGAUUAACACCGCAUAAAAUCACAGUUCAGCAUUGGACAAUGAUCAAAUAUUUAUAGGAAUAAGAUGGGCAUGCGUGUCAUUAGCUAGUUGGCGGGGUAACGGCCCACCAAGGCGACGAUGACUAGGGGAUCUGAGAGGAUGGCCCCCCACACGAGUACUGAGAACCGGACCAGACUCCUACGGGAGGCAGCAGUAAGGAAUAUUGGUCAAUGGAGGGAACUCUGAACCAGCCAUGCCGCGUGCAGGAAGACGGCCCUCUGGGUUGUAAACUGCUUUUAUUCGGGAAUAAACCUAUUUACGUGUAAAUAGCUGAAUGUACCGAAGGAAUAAGGAUCGGCUAACUCCGUGCCAGCAGCCGCCGCGG